UACGUAGGAGGCAAGCGUUUGUCCGGAAUCAUUGGGCGUAAAGCGCGUGUAGGCGGCUCGAUAAGUCUGCUGUGAAAGUCCAGGGCUCAACCCUGGGGAUGCCGGUGGAUACUGUCGAGCUCGAGUCCGGAAGAGGCGAGUGGAAUUCCUGGCGUAGCGGUGAAAUGCGCAGAUAUCAGGAGGAACACCGAUGGCGAAGGCAGCUCGCUGGGACGUGACUGACGCUGAGACGCGAAAGCGUGGGGAGCAAACAGG
rnacentral:rRNA from 1 species